rnacentral:rRNA from 1 species
AACGAACGCUGGCGGCAUGCCUAACACAUGCAAGUCGAGCGAGACCUUCGGGUCUAGUGGCGCACGGGUGCGUAACGCGUGGGAACCUGCCCUUAGGUUCGGAAUAACUCCCCGAAAGGGGUGCUAAUACCGGAUAAUGUCUUCGGACCAAAGAUUUAUCGCCUUUGGAUGGGCCCGCGUUGGAUUAGCUAGUUGGUAGGGUAAAAGCCUACCAAGGCGACGAUCCAUAGCUGGUCUGAGAGGAUGAUCAGCCACACUGGGACUGAGACACGGCCCAGACUCCUACGGGAGGCAGCAGUGGGGAAUAUUGGACAAUGGGCGAAAGCCUGAUCCAGCAAUGCCGCGUGAGUGAUGAAGGCCUUAGGGUUGUAAAGCUCUUUUACCCGGGAUGAUAAUGACAGUACCGGGAGAAUAAGCGCCGGCCAACUCCGUG